rnacentral:rRNA from 1 species
AUGGACGUCAGAAUACUGAAGGAGACCCUUGACUGCACAGUCUGCUUCGAGCACUUCAGGACUGAGAUUUAUCAGUGUUCUGUUGGGCAUUUCAUAUGCUCGUCUUGCCGCGACAAGAUACUGGACAAGAAGUGCCCCACAUGCUCUAUCAAAACUUCCUUCAAGCGCUGUUUUGGGAUGGAACAUGUCAUCCAGUCAGUCACAUUUCCUUGCUCCAAUGCCAAGUAUGGAUGCAGAGAGGGUCACGAAUACUAUCAGAAAGAAGGACAUGAGCAGGUAUGCCCGUAUGCCCCAUGCUUCUGCCCAGCGUCCGACUGCAGCUUCACUGGGCUGACACACGAGCUCCUGGACCAUCUCACCAUCUAUCACAUGUCUCCAUGUACAGACCUCCCAUAUCAUGGGACGGUGUCUCUCCGCUUAGAACCUGGCAUAAAUGUUCUGGCACCCCGCAACAAGAGCAACAACCAUUUUUUCAUGCUCAACAUGGAGCCAGAGCGUCUUGGAUAUGCUAUCUCAGUCGUCUGCGUCCAACCUAAUGCUACGGAACCCAAGUUCGCAUGUAGUAUGAGUUAUGACUGCUCUGGGACAGGUUAUUGUGGAAGUGCAAGUUGCCAAAUAAAAAGCUCUACACUCUCUGAUGGGCUACCGACGGACUACGACUUAAUUCCUCCCAAGGGAAAGAUUUCUGGUGAUCGAAAAUUUAUGAUGCUCAGAAUAACAAUUCAUCACGCUUCAAGUGUUGCGACGGGAGGGGUAGGAGCACCGGGGUUCAUCACUCGC